rnacentral:rRNA from 1 species
AGAGCUCAAAUUUGUAAUCUGGCGGUCUACGGCCGUCCGAGUUGUAAUCUAGAGAGGUGUUUUCCGUGCCGGACCGCGUACAAGUCCCUUGGAACAGGGCGUCAUAGAGGGUGAGAAUCCCGUUCAUGACGCGGACUUCCGGUGCUCUGCGAUACACCUUCAAAGAGUCGAGUUGUUUGGGAAUGCAGCUCAAAAUGGGUGGUAAAUUCCAUCUAAAGCUAAAUACAGGCGAGAGACCGAUAGCGAA